GGGCACGUCGUGGUGUUACUGGUAUGCCCCCGGGUUUCUCAUUAAGGGUACCCCGGAGUAGCUGGUUCGAUUCCAGCCGUGUCCA